AGAAAUUUCUAACUGCGCAGAAUUUUUACGGUCUAUUGAAAAUGGUGGUAUCGUCAAUAGAAAUUUCUAACUGCGCAGAAUUUUUACGGUCUGAUUCUAGUUGAAAAUGGUGGUGUCGUCGAUAGAAAUUUCUAACUGCGCAGAAUUUUUACGGCGUAUCCAUGAAUUCACAGAAGAUUUUAAGAAAAUCGACCGAGAAAGCUGUCUUCUUCAGGAUGCAAACAAGUCUAUCCGGAUGCCAAUUUUGGCAACAGUUUACGAAAACAAAUCGCAUGCUGAUAUUUAUUAUAUUCACGAACAAUGAAUUGUUCUCAAAUUCAUUAAUAAUCUCCGAAAAUAAGUGGAAGGGAUGGAAAUCUUGAAGGAAACCUGGAAUUUCUUCGUUGAGAAUAUUACCUCUCAAGCAUUAAUAAUCCAUGCCAUGCUGAAUCUAUCAGGGUUCCUUGACGAUUAAUCUAGCGAUUAAUUAAUCCUAGACGAUUAAGCAAUAAGAUUGGAUUGAUUAAAUCGUAGUAUUUUGAUUUUAGAAUUAUUAAUAAUUAUUAUUUCCUACCUUUUUUGAUCCUUUAAGAUAUUAUUAUUUCCUCAUUUUUAAUUUUUA